CAUACUGGUACUCAGUUCUAGGUCAGGGAUGUCCACAGUCAAAAAAUAAAAAUAAAAAAUAAAUAUCGGCACAAUUUCUUUUAAAAUGAAGCAGGCUGUUCAUUUCAGGCACACUUGUCAGGACUUUGUAAAGAACAGAACCAAGGCACUCCGACACUUUGGUGUGUCCCUAGCAUCCCAAACUGUAAUCCUACGCCUCUCCUAGGCAUCUUUACCCACAAGGGCAGAGAGCCAGCUGUCUGGUGCGCAAGGACGUAACUUCUCACCCUGGAGAAAAAGAUCCAGCGUCCAGCAGGCCCCCAGCUCAAAGUUCACGCACACAGGUUACUCGCGAAAAACCAAAGGGCUCAGCUCUCCUGUCCCGGCAGAGCGCAGAAUCAUAAACCGCCCACUUGCCCUCCUUCCCGUCUGUGAAGCGCUCGGAGCCGC
rnacentral:lncRNA from 1 species